rnacentral:rRNA from 1 species
GAUGAACGCUGGCGGCAGGCCUAACACAUGCAAGUCGAGCGGAUGAGUGGAGCUUGCUCCAUGAUUCAGCGGCGGACGGGUGAGUAAUGCCUAGGAAUCUGCCUGGUAGUGGGGGGACAACGUUUCGAAAGGAACGCUAAUACCGCAUACGUCCUACGGGAGAAAGCAGGGGACCUUCGGGCCUUGCGCUAUCAGAUGAGCCUAGGUCGGAUUAGCUAGUAGGUGAGGUAAUGGCUCACCUAGGCGACGAUCUGUAGCUGGUCUGAGAGGACGACCAGCCACACUGGGACUGAGACACGGCCCAGACUCCUACGGGAGGCAGCAGUGGGGAAUUUUGGACAAUGGGCGCAAGCCUGAUCCAGCAAUGCCGCGUGCAGGAUGAGGGCC